CUAAUUAAUAUUAUAAUUAAUAGCACUUUAAGCAAUAUAAUUCUCCGUUAAGUUCCUAGAUUAGGGUUUCAAAUUCCUGAAAUCUGAAAUUAGGGUUUCUAAAUAUGGUAUUAGGCUUUUCUAAUAAUCAAUUAGGCUUUCAAGUAAUUCAUUAGGGUUUUCCCUGAUAAAUGACGUUUAAACCUUAUACAUAGUAUUCGCAUUCCUAAACUAGGGUUUUAUACACCAAAUUAGGGUUUUGAAUUCCCGGAACUGAAAUUAGGGUUUCCAGAACCGGUUUCUAGGGUUUCUUACAAUUCGCUAGGAUUUUCUAACUGAACGUUAAUGUUCUUAAUAUAUACCUAGGAUUUGUUACAAAUAUCGUUUAUCUGGUCAACCCUUGACCCUUAACCACAUACUGUACACAUAUAUAAUCAUAUUCACAGAACAUAUUCACUUAUUCCCUUAAUCCUGAAUAAUUCACUUAAAUCCUUAAUGGAAUUUUGAAAUCCUCAAAAUUCCUUCUCAAAAAUAUCAAACGCAUACACUUAUUUUCUGUCUAGGUUCUAAUAUUGAACCUUAAAUAAAUUAAUAAUAAUUUUAAAAAUUUUCUAAAUUCACGGGUUGUCACAUUCACCCCUUCUUCUAAAAAUUUCGUCCCCGAAAUUUACCUUACACCAUACACCAUUCACCAUUCAUUUUCAUCAUCACAUGCUACCCAAUACAUUUUUCACAUGAAUAAAGAUUUUGAAAUUGUGCUGAGGGGUUUUACAGACUAUUGUUUGUCAUUUUCGCAAAGGUUUUAUGGAAAUUCAUCCGCAAACCGUCUUAUCUUACGGACAUAGUGGGUAAUUAGCCUGAUAUACCCUGUACUUAUAAAGUACUUCUGGUCUGAUCUGUUUCUCGUCUCUGCCAUAGGCACAAAAAUUUUACCUCAGUCUUAUCGGAUUCCUCACCAAAAUAAUUUGGUUCGGGAAAUUUCUUUAAAUGAACACUUAGAGUUUUCAUAACAUUAGUCUAGCUGAAUCGAAUAGCAUAGACUCAUAUCAAUAAUUCAAUUCAAUCGAAU
rnacentral:lncRNA from 1 species